GCCAUAUUUUGCAAUUUAAACUGAAAGCAGAUGUCAUUUAAUUCAAAAGAUCAUUGAAACAAUAAAUUGGCAGAAGAUAUGAAUAUUAACAGCAUUAGCCACCCACAUGUAAAAAACACAAACUGCAUCCAAUUGUUCUAGGUUUCAUAAUAAUAGCCAAAAAAGAUGAAAAUGGAGUAACAAAGCAUAGUGAGACACAGCUAAAGGAAGCUACUAAAACAAGGGAUAGAGCAAACAAGUAGGAUACUAAGAAACGAAGGACAGAGGAAACAAGUAAGGAUACUAAGGAGCAGUAGUACCAAUUAAAGCAAACAAGAAAAUAGACACUCAACUAACAAAAGCUAAUAACCCCAUAUGAAGAUUGACCUAGUGGAAAUAGAAUUCCCAACAAAACUUAUCUGCCCUGUCCCUCUUGUAUGCUUUUCAAAUUUUGGUUAUAGUUGAUUUGUCCUCACUUGGCCAUCAUCACUUUGACAAACUCCUCAUAGUUGAUCUGGCCAUCGCCGUCGACAUCAGCCUCGCGAAUCAUCUCAUCAACCUCCUCAUCGGUCAGCUUCUCCCCCAGAUUUGUCAUAACAUGGCGGAGCUCAGCAGCAGAUAUAAAACCAUUCUGAUCCUUGUCGAACACACGGAAAGCUUCUUUAAGCUCCUCCUCUGAGUCAGUGUCUUUCAUCUUGCGAGCCAUCAGAUUGAGGAACUCCGGGAAAUCGAUGGUUCCGUUGCCAUCAGCAUCAACCUCAUUUAUCAUGUCCUGCAACUCUGCCUCAGUUGGGUUUUGCCCAAGUGACCGCAUUACAGUCCCAAGUUCCUUGGUAGUAAUGCAACCUAAACCACAUUACAAAACUGUUCAACAGAAAUAUGAUUCAUUCAAACCCACAAGUGAAAUGCAGGUCAAAGUUUUGAAAACAUGACGGAAUAAAGAACAUAAAUCCGGUUAUACUGGGAGGAAAGUUUCAGAAGAAAAAGAUAAUCUGAAGCAGGUACAACAACGGAAAGUGAAGAACACUGUAAAGUACCAUUGCGUCAAAGGAACACACAUGCUAGAUAUUUGGUAACAAUUUUCUACAGUAAUGAUUAAUUAACAAUUCGGACAAGAUACUGUUAGCAUCCUUGGUAGUAGGGGUUUGCCUAUCAGCUGAGAUACUCAUAGCAGAAACAUGCAUAGAAUGACAUAAUGGUUAACAAAUCUAGACAGAAUGAAAUACAUAGUCAAAAACAAAAAAUCUAGCCAAAUAAAAAUGUCUAGCUAAACCAAAUGAUCCAAAUAUCAAAUUCCAUUACAUAAAUAUACACAUGCUACACUAUCACUGCUUACUUCAGUUGCCAAAACAAACACCCGUAUUUUUAGUAUUUACAAAGGACAAACUUACGCAUUUCUGAAUCUACAUAUCACAUAAAACUCCUACGGAAAAAACAGAUCCAUAAUAUAAAAUCUAGAUGUUUCCACAAAACGAUAAGCACAACCAAGACUUGUCAUCAACAACCCAAUAGGAUGACACAAACAGAUCCACCAACCAAAACGGUCCAACAAGCUAACAUUCUAUUCUCAGACACCACAAAAACAUAAAUCGCCAAAUUUAACACAGCAAACUGCCAACCUUCCGAAUUCAACUUUACAAAUCAUAACCCACAUCCCCAAUUUCCACAUCUACGAAAACCAUUCCGAUUUCCGACACGUGCAUCAAACAACAAAAAGCAAACCCCAGUUCCAAAUCCAACGCUAAAAAUCCAUUUCCAAUUCCACGAUCCAAAUCCACCCACACCCGGAAUCAUAACUCUUCACAAAACAAAACAUCAUCAACAAACACAAAACCACGAGAAUCGUAGAAAUUUCCACAUCAACAUCCAAAAGGUCAAACAAAACCGGAACCCUAUAUCACCAAGUAUAAGUGUCAUAUAAAUUCAAUCCCCCUACCUCAAACUACCAAAAAUAUCAAAUUUAGCACAAAAAGAAAAACACAAACAAGACCCCCCAAGAACAAACGAAUUGCGGAAACCAGAUCUGGGAAAGAGGGAAAAGUGAAACAAGGAAGAGAGAAAAAGGAAAAAGACAGAGAGGGAUCUGAGGAGAGAGACCAUCGCCAUCCUUGUCGAAGAGGCUGAAGGCCUCCUUGAACUCGGCGAUCUGGUCGUCGGUGAGCUGGUCGGCCAUUGGAGCAGAGAGGGGGGCGUUUUUGGGAGGCGAGAAAGUGAGGGAAAACGAGAGCGAAGGAAAAUGAAUGUGGAAUACAAAAAGAGGAGGAAUGGGGUAUAUAUAUAAAAUAAAAUAAAAAUAUAUAUUUAAUAUAUUUCAUUUAAUAUAUAUUCCUUACACCUUCCUCUCAAGCUAUGGUCCCAAACUGUCUGUGUUUAAUGUUAAAUUAUGUCACUUUUGAAAGUCACGAUCUUAAAAUUAUAAAUUAAAAAAUUUAGUUUACUUUUAUAUUUUAUUAUUUAAUUGUGUUUUUUUUUAUUUUCCCUACGUUUUAUUGAUUUAUUAUAAAUAUCUUAUUAAUUUCUUAAAAAUCACGUUAUUCUAACACCAUUUAUUUUUAAUUUCUUUUACCUUGUUAGACAUUUAAAGAAUGAGUAAAAACCAUAAAAUUUAAAAUCUAAUAAUGAAAUCAAUACAAAGUCAUGGUAAAUUUUUGUGAAUAAUAAUAAUUGCUUAUAAAAUAUGUAAUUAAAAUUAAAAGAUUUUAAGCAAAAUUAUACUUUUGGUUUUUGUGUAAAAUCUCAUAAAAUGGUAUUUUAAAAGUCACGAUAGUUUAAAAAUAGUGAAACUCAGUUAUUUUAAUAUUAAAUAGUUUAGUUAUAAAUAGUUUUGUUAUAAACGAGUUUUAAAUAUUUUAAAACGUAUCAUCUCUCUAUAAACCACUUUUCUAGGGUUCUUUACCUUCCCUCUAAGUGUUCGUGCUCCUAAGUCAUCUGUUUGACAAUCAAGAGUUGUCUAUACGAUCACGAUGUUAAGGUCUACAAAUUUAGCCAAUCACUUUCAAGAAUAAAGCAAAUAAGUUUCGACUCAUUUUUCCCCUUCCGUUCCCAAAUAUGUUUUAGAAUAAUCUAGUAUUGUUGCAUGUGUAAUCAUGCUUCUUCUAGUCGUUCUUGGUUCACCUAGAAUUCUAUAGGUUGAGAUUCCUUGCAUUUCAAACAAUUGGCGAAAUGUUUCUUUGAGUUGGACAGUUUAUUGUAGGAUAAGGAAAGCUAGAUUUGUCUUAAAUUAUGUUUGUUUAUAUUAAAAUAGAAUCUAUAAGAAUAAUAUGAUGUAUUGGAUGAAAUUCUAAUGGUAGUAUAGAAUUAGAUAGGUAUAAAUAAUGAUAGUUGGCAUUAUGAAGUGUUUGUGAUUGUAAUAAUAUGAAAUUGAUGUUCUAUGUUGUUAUGAAUAUGUGUGAUGAAGUUGUGUUGCUGUUUGAAACUGAAUUCAAAAUUAUGGUGAUGAGAAAUAUUGAAAUUCUUUGGUUUUAUGCCUGAAAUGGGGGUUUGAAGGUGUGAAUUUGAGAAUUUAGGGUUGAUGUGAGGAAACUAUUGUCUAGGUACUUGUUAAGAAUCUGGCAAGUGUACCGAAUCAUAUCAAGUAAUAAUAAGUGGUAAGACCAAGUAUCAUUUCCCUAGAGACUCAUAGGCCUAGACUUUCAUGUAAUUUGUUGAUUAUAUAAUACUUGAAUAACGAAAAUUAGGGUUUAUAAUGCAAAAACGAAAAUUAAACAUGCACAUGCAAAAGUUUUGAUCAAUUGACCAAGAAGAUAACGCAGGUGAUUGAUAUGGAUGAAUGGUGUUGUUGGGGUUUCCGACUUAUCCUAAUCCACUCUCAAAUAUUUACGAAUUUUACUUUAUUCUACUUUCUUUAUUAAUGUUAAUGCCACUUUCUAAUUCACCCUAAUCCCAAUGUCUUGGUGAAGAGAACCUACUCCUAAUCACUAGUUUACAAUGUCUUGUCUCCCUAGCAAUUAUUCAUGCAUUACAUAAUUCGUACAAAAGCUUAAAGGCAAUCGGUCCUCCUAUCCCUAUGUCUAGGUAAUAUUACUCCCGAGAGAAUUCCCUCACGUCUAGACCUACCCAUAUGUGUCCAUAUAGAUAGAAUCAAAGAUCACACUAUUGAAUAAUGUCUUAAACAAAGCAUGCAAAUAUAAUGGAGGAAAAGCUCUAACAAUUAAUAAAAGAAAACAUAUGAAUAAAGCAAUAAUUGAGAGUUUCAAUAGGUUUACAUCAUUUCCCCAACAACAAUGAAGGUUUAGUUCACCAUGGACAUGGUGAAACUAGAUGAAAAAAAGAAAAGAAUGAAAAGAUAAACCCUAGAUUUGAUAGAUUGGAGCUCCCGCAUCCAAAAUCCUCCUCCAAGGGGUGAAAAGAGUGUUUUUGCGCCUCCUUCUAUCAAAAGAUAGUCUCUCUAGGUUGUCUGGGUCUUUAAAUAGAUCAUAAAAAUAAUAGAAAAACUGGCCCAAGCCCACAAAAAUGGCAUUCGACACUGGUUUACCACUCAACGGUGGGUGCAACACUCAUUUGACACUCAGUGGUGAUGCUCAAGCGUAAAACAGUGAAAACUGGCGAAAACCGACACUCACGGUGGCGCUCAGCGCCACCUGCAAUACUGAAACUGCACUAUGAUUGACUUUUCAGCAUUCUGGUUGAUUGGUUGACUUUUUGGUUGACUGGUUGACUUUCUGGUUGACUGUUGACUUUUCUGAUUGAUUGGUUGACUUUUCUGUACUCCAACCAUUUGAUACUUUAACUCUUCUUUCAAUUCAUUCCAAUAACCUACAAAAUCAAGGGAAUUUAGUGAUAAAAUCAUAAAGCAUAUCCUCAACUCUCUUAUUCACAAAACUAAAGCAAAAUCAUAAGUCCAAGCAAGUUUCUAAGUCAAAAAGGGUGCAUUAAGUAUCAAAAUUAAGUAUGAAGAUAACGAUUUUUCAACCAUUAUUGGUUUUGUCAUGAGGUGAUUUAGGACUUGUUAAGAAGGCUAGAUGGUUGAAAACUGUUUUGUAGAAAAAGGAGAGUUUCUAAUUAAAGUUUUGAAGUGUUUUUGGUGUAAAAAGGGGGUUUUGAGUAGUGAGAUUUUAGAGUAGUGAGUCUAAACUAUUUUGGAAGGUUAGAGGUCUAUUGCUAUACCUAUUAGGACUUGUUUAGGUGCUAAAACCAGUAAAAUCUGUUAUGAAAGUGUUAAUGGCUUCAUAAGUUGCGUUUUGUCCAUUUUAGAGGUUUUAAGGCUUGAAAUAGAAAGUAGGAUAUCUAGGAUGAAAUUGAGGUUUUGGAGAGUGCUAACAAGUGUGUUUAUACUUGUUUAUGUAGAUUAUAAACUGGUUUGAAGGCUUAAAAGUGUAGAAUUGAAAUUGGGUAGCUUGUAGGAGUGAAUUUGGAUUUUAAAGUGUCAAAUUGAGUUGCAGCAGUGUUUUCAGAGUUUUCUCAAGGUUUGGAGGGUCCUAGGAACCUUUAGAAGUUGGGGGUAUAGUGUUCAAAGUAAGAAAAUUGAGUCUUAAUUUUACUGAUAGCACCUGAGUGUCCAAAUUGGGCAUUGAGCACUGAAAAUGGUGAAAGUUGCGCUCAGGGCGCUGAAAACUAAAGCUGGAUGCUAAUGUUUCAGUGCUGAGCGCCGCCCUUGGGCGCUUAAGCAUUACUAAGGGACAUUGCACCAGUUUUGGAGAGUUUUUAGGGUUUUUUAUGUCCGUUUUGGACGUUCUUUAAGUCGUUUUAAGGGUUUUGGACCCUUUCAGAGCUGUUGGUGAUGAUUUCAAAGUUGUUUUCCUUACCUAAAUAUGGGUAAUAAGAUGCCUUAAAGAAAAAUGUGUUAUUAUGUGACUUGUGAUGACUUAUUUGGUUGAUUUUGGUUCUUCGAAUUAUAAUUAGUGAUCUUAUAUGAUAUUAGUCAAUGUAAAUGGAUGAUUUACAUGUGAAUGGAAGUUUUGCAUAUGAAUAUUGUGAUGAAAAGUUUGUGAAUGAAGUGAAUGGUUGUUGGACGUAAUUCCAUGACUCGUGGAGAGGUUGCAUGGUAGUGCCUUGUAGUGUUUUUUGUAUGAAUGGUCGCAGUUAAUCCGAAGGUUUAUCCUGACGCUCUCAAUAACCUCAAUCUCAAGUAGAGAUGGAUCAUUAUGUGGUGGAGAGUAGCAGGAGGUCCUAGUCUAUGGUCACCGGUCAGGGAUAUAAAUGUUGACGGACUAACCUUGUGGAUGACGUUGGUGUUUGUAUCUAGAUUUGAAUGGGUAUUGUUGGAGGUCACCACAAGUGCAUGAUCCACCGUAGCUCGACAUUCAUACUGUAUCAGGAUGGUCAGGUCUAAGUUUGUGUCAUAUUUAUGAUGAAUGUUUAUUGUGUGUGUGGAACGUGAUGUAUGAUGAAAUUUUAUUGUUUCAUGAUAAAAUGUUUUAUCAUUAGCUUACGCUUGUUUUUCUGUUGUCUGUCUUUGUAUGUUAUUUCUCUUUUGCGAUUAUCACCUAAUGGUUUGAGCUUACGGAGUCGCCUUUUCAGUUGUUCCAGCGAGAGGUGGGGGCAAAACAGAUGAGUUGUUGGAUAGAUCUACAAAAGUAGAUCUCUUCUUUGAAGGAGGUUUGUUUUACCUAGUUGUUCUUUUAGCAUCUAUGUAACGUUUCAUUUUGAUAGUUUUAUACUAUUAAAAUGGGAUGUUACAUUUUUUAUGCAUAUUAUUUAUGAAGUUAUUUAUUUUUAUAGUUUUGUCUUUAAAUUUAAAAAAAAAAAAUCAUAAAUUUGAUCCAAAUUCUCAAUUUGACAUAUAUUAUGUAUUUUUUUUAUGUUAGUCUAAUUGAACCUUAUAUCUAAUAUUUUCAUUAUUAUCCAUAUUUAAAAUAUAUAAAAAAAUAUGUUAAAAGGACAUGAAAAAUAUUUUAGAUUAAGAAUAAAUGAUAAGUAAACGAAAUAAGUAGAAAAUAUGGGUAACUAUUAUUUUAUUAUUAAAAAGCAUGAGUUAUAAAUAGAAAACUAAUUAAUAGAUUUCAUUAUAUAAAAAUUAUAAUAUAUUUAGAUAUUCUCAUCUUCUUUUCUUAUAAAUAUAAUUAAUUUAUUCACCUUGGAAAAUUAGAGUAAACCAUCUUGGUAUAGAGGAUUUUCAUCCUAUCAUAUAAUUAAAGUAAGUUCAUCUUCUAUCUUUCUUUUCAGUUAAAGUAGAUCACAAAGUUCUUGAUCUUGACUGUAAUCACCAUAUGAUCCUCUUUUUUUGGGUUAGUAGCUUUGAAGUAUGUGUUGGUGAAGGUUAUAGGGGACAUAUUCCUUCUUAUUGGGGUCGAUAAUGCUUUUACCGAUUGCACCUAUAAUAUCUGAGUAAUAAAUAUCAAUUUAGGCAUAAGUUAAUUGGUUAAAAAAAGUGUUGGUUAAUAAAAUAGACUAUAUGUUAUAUAAAUGCUAUGUUGUUUACUUAGUAGAAGUGUUGGGUGGAAAAUUAACGAAAGGCAUAAUUAUGAUAGGUGUCGUAAAAUAGGAGUUAAAUAACUAUAAAAUUGUUAAUAUAAUCAAGAGAGUUAGUUGAUGUGAUGGUAAAUAUGAGUAUAUUUUUGGGUAGUGUUAAGGAUGAUGGGAUUUGAUCCUUGGCAAGAACAAAAGAGAUUUUUUUUUAUUUGUUUUUGUUUUGUUAGCUUAUUUUUUUUUAAAGGAAAAAAUAACUUUUUGGAUGAGGGAAACCGCGAGAAGUUUAGAAAACAGAAAAACACUAUUGUGUUUGAAACAACCUCGUUCGUCCUUUUUCUUCUUCUCUUUUUGCUUUGAACCAAAACCCUAGGUCGAGGGGGAACUGUGUGGCGAGCGUUAUAAGCGUUUAAUGCUCAAUUAUAACGAAGGAGAAUAGUGGGUAGAAAAAAAAGAGUGGAGGUUUUAAGAGGUUAUCUUGCGAAAAGGAAACACAGGAGGGAGUGAGGGAAGUUGAGAACGAAAAGUUCUUAGAGUUUUUGAUGAGUUUGGGGUUUAGAUGAGUGACAGAGUGAGGAUGAAUUCAAUGUGGUCGAGAGGCGGAACAUAGAGUUUGAGAAGAGACCUUGGAGUGAAGUAUCUGAAAAACACUAGAAGGGGGACCGGGGGGUGUGGGGAGAGAGGGUGAGAUGAUUAGUUAAACCCACAAUCUCUGUGAUAUCUGUUUUUGAUGAUGACAACACAUUGUUAAUAAAAACACAUGUGCAUGUGUUGUGUUACAUGUAUUAUAUGCUUAUGCUUAAUAUGAGAUUUGUACAAGCAUUGUUGUGGACAUAUUGUAAUGAUGAUUAUUGCAUAUUACUGCGUUUGCAAUGUGAUUAUAUAUGUGUAUGCAUAAUAUGUGUUUUGUAAAUGAAAAACCAUAAGCGCCAAGCAUAUCUGCAUGACUUAAUCGAUUACGAUAGUGCAUUAAUCAAUUAAGGUCAUAAGACAUCUUAAGCUUUAAACUGUGGCAAAACAACAAGUUUUAAAUUAAUUACAUUAGUGGUUAAAUCGAUUAAAACUCAUGUGUUUGCACAAAUAUUUUUCAAAGUGUGUUGUGAUGGAUUUUGAGAAGAAAAGUUUACAAAAUAUGCUAAGUGUUAUAACUUAAUCGAUUACAUGGAUUAUGUAUUCAAUUAAGUUAGUUAAAGAUUUGAAAAUUGUUUCAUUGCUUGACAUAAUUGUCACAACGGUCAUAUUUUUAAAUAUGUUGACCAAGCAUUUAUUGCAAAUCGAUUACAUUAAUUAAACAUUCAAUUAAUUACAUUGACUGCUGUUAAUCUAUUAUAACUGUGACAUGUAUUCAAUUAGAUUAAUAACGUAAUCGAUUAAAAUGGGUCUGAUUUGACUUAAACUAUAAAUAGAUGUGUGAUUUGAAUUCUAAAAAGACAAUUGUGAUUUACACUUUCAUAUCUGUUUCAAAUUAAAGCUUUGAGUUUUAGAGAAGAGAGAAAAGCUCCAAGAACCUAGAAUUACCAUGGUGAUCAAAGUCUUGAAUGUUUCUUGUGAAGCAAGAUUGUUUGAUUCUUAACCUGAUCGUUUUGCACACAGAAGGUGCUUACUGCUUGAUCAUGAGCUAUGGCAAUCGUUGAGAGUUGUUGUUUCCUUGUAGUGUAUACAGGAAGAGGAACGUGGUUCUUGACUUUGAGGGGGAUGUCAAAGGGUUGACUGCAGGAAAGGAUCGUUCUUGCUACUAGUCUGUUGUUGUAUUUGCCUAUAUUAGAUUAGUGAGUUAGAGAGGUGAUUUACAUUUUGACGUGAGGUCGCUGUAAAGCCCUUGUUGUAAAAACUCAGAUCUUUAUAGUGCACUGGCUUCCAAUCUUGGGUUGAGUGGAAGGACACUGGAUGUAGGCAGAUUGGCCGAACUAGUAUAAAAAUCAGAGUUUGCAUUUUCUUCUCCUUUACUCUUUGCAUUUAAUCCAUUGCAUAUUAUCUGUAUUCGAAUAUGCAUACUGUUAUAUAUGAGGGAACUGAUGCAGUAAAGCGUGCCAUAAAGAAUUCAUUCGUACAAGAAUAUGAAAUUUUUAGGAUGAAAGUCGGGGAAACCACCUAUGAUGUGCAAAAGAGGUUCACACACAUUGUCAAUAAUCUGAUGGCUCUCGACAAGGCAUUUGAGAAAGAAGAAAUUAAUAUCAAAAUCUUGAAGAGCCUGAACUCGUUUACGUCGAAAAGAAAGAUAAUUGACAUAAAGUUAACGUCUUUUAUGCGCAUCGACGUUAAAGUACGUCCUAUAGAAUAGAACUUGACGUCCAAAUAUUUGAAUAAAUAUUUAUUUUUAAAGAAAGAUUUUUCGUCAUAUCGUCGGGGAAACUGACGUAAUAUUGACGUCGGCAUUGAAGAAUGAUGACGUAAUAUUCACGUUGAAGAGUAAAUUUGACGUUAAUUUUUUAAUAAAUAUUUAUAUUUAAAGGAAUAUUUGACGUCUAUUAUAAGGUGAUUGAUGUAAGGUUGACGUCGAACAUGUUUACAGUCGACGUUAAUAUCGCUGAGCCGUAGUGAUCCUAGCCCAGCGUUUUAUUAUUAUCGUUAUCCACUGCAUUAUAUCAACGUCACUCGUCGCCGUGAUGGACGUUAAGAUACAUAUAUUAACGUCGGACAGUGUAUAAAUUGAUGUUACCUUCAGUGUUUUUUAUUAAACUUCGUUCGUUUUAGCUCAUUUAACCAAACCUGAAAUACAAAAACCAGUUUUCCAAUUCCUAAAUGCACAAAAUUAAUUAAUUUAAACCAUGUCAUCAUCAAUUCCAAUUUAACAAUAAAAGUAAAAGACGCUAAUGCUAUCAUCAAAACUUAAAAGAACCCACUUUUCCAUUCAUCUAUUCACAGUAUUCAUCUAUUCUGAAUAAUCUAUUCACAGUAUACAUCUAUUCACAGUCAAUAAGCUGCACAAGUAAGUAAAUGCUAUUAUCAUGAAAGGAAAAAACAUAAAACUAUAGCUAGUUAAAAUGUUUAUUCAAAUAUCCUGCCCAUUCCUCUCUUAUGGACUUUAAUAACGCAUUGGACAAUGGAGAGGUAUCGUUGAAUUGCUGCAAAAUCAUGGAAGGAAACUUUACAAUUAUAUUCGUUUUAAUGUCAAAAGUUUAUUGAUAUUUUUAAGAUUUUCAAAUGUAAAUUUCUACCUCAAUCCACUGUCCUCUGAUUCCUGCUCGGAUGAUUGCCUUGAUCCAUGACAAGACGUAGUAGGCACAUGCCCAGGAAUCAUUCUGCUUAUUACACUAAACAUGUGAAAGAACUUAGUCAAAUGUAAUGGUUUAAAAUUGACUACAAAAAUUAAAGGUUAAAGUAUAACGAAUUCCAACCUUAGGACAUAUAAUAUCAAUUUGUUGUCCUCUAGUCCUAGUCAGAACUUUAAACAAAUUUGAAACAUUAGAAACAUAAGUUAAUAUUAUUAAUAUCAUAAUGAAUUAAUAAGAAUGAAUGUAAUACUUAUGUUUGUAUCAAGGACUUCAAAUCCGCUUUCAUCUUCCUAUGAAGAGAACAAAACCAUAUAACUUGUGCGUUUUUUGGAAUGAUCACCGCGAGUUGCCAGUGGCCCCUAUCAUGUACCAACAACCAGUGAGUUUAUUGAUUAAAAUUUGAUAAAAGUUGACAAUAUUGGGAAAACAUACGCUUCAAUGUAUGGCACCAUAUAUAACUCUCUGUUAGACUCGGUCAUCCAUGUUUGCAUAUAUUUCUUUCUGGAAUCUAAUGUGUUUCCAGAUGGUUGGAUGGUCUGAGGUUCAAGAAAGCCAUAAAUUGACCCCCGACCUGAUUCUACUGCGACGGUGUCCAUGUACCUAUAAGAAUAAAGUUAAGUAUAUUUAUUAAAAUAUCAUAAUACUAAUAAUAUACAAAUUGGAAAAUAAGAAAUAAAAAACUUACAUACACCACAGUUGUAUGCAUGAAAUGUUCAACAUUCUAUCUCCACCAAUCAGCUCAUAUGCAUCUUGGUAUUCAAUAUACAAUGGAAUAUGGAACUUGACGCCAAACGUUCUUAAGUCCCACUACAGGCUACCAAUGUUUUUUUCAACUGAGGUAAUCUUAAGAGCAAUAUGGAUUCAGGAUCAUCGUCUUCUGCUUCCACAUGAGCCUCAGGUUGAGCCAUUGCUUGUUUCUCUGGUCGGUAGACCUGCAAGUCACAUUUACAGAAGUUAGGAAUCAUUUAAUUAUAACUUGAAGAUUUAAGAUAAUAAAAAUAAGAAUGCACUACCGCUGGUGGGCCAAAAUAUGGAACGAUCAAGGUCUUAGGCCAAGCUAUAAAUGUGCCUAAGGCCUCCCCCACGAAUUGGAUUUCAUCUGUCGGCACUGGCACUUGAGACUGGGGGUCUCUAAAAUCAUCAAUCCUUACCCGCGCGUCAGUGGGCAAUAAAGGAACACUAUGAAUGGUCUGGCCUCUUGCAAGCUGUACUCAGAUGGUCACUGCGCGCGAACGAUCCUCAUCAACCAAAAACUCAUAUUGAAUAUUAUAAUCAGUAUGAUCUGCAUUGGAGCAUGAGUCUUUGGUGCUCACGGGAGGUGGGGUAGGCUCAUCUAUAGGGGCAUCCUCCUGCUAUGAAUGUUCAUGUUGGUGUUGUAGUAUGAUCAUCGCAAGUUCUCGUUCGAGCGUUCUUAAGCAUUAUCCCAUUCGCUCCUCUAAUUCGACUUGCACUUUUUCUGUGAUGCUAUUAACCAAUUCCGGAGUCACGACUUCUAUGCUUCUUGGUUUAAGGCCAAAGUAGUCCCUCAAUCUAGUAGCUCCUCCAACAGCAUGCACACGACCUGGACGGUCUAGCCGACUUGUGGUUGCUACUAGGAGGUCCUCCCUACCUUGUGCCACAAAUGUGCCUUGAGUCUGUUGCUCAACCAAGUCAUCCUACAUAUCAUAAUAGACAAAGUUACAUAAUUUUUUAUGAACUAUGGUAAUUAGUUAAAAGUUUCCACUUACAAUUCUAUUGGAUAUGUCUUGAGCAGACUGGGAUGUAAAUUGGCCAUUGGACUUUGUCCGUGCAGCCUUCCACAGUUCAUGGAGGUGUGAUAACGGUCUAAAAAUGUUACUUUCAUACUUAAUAUUGAUAUAAAAACACACCCUUUAUGGCUUAGAAUGAGCUUAAAAUAAAGUAAAACACUUAGUUGAGUCAUGUGAGAGUCAAAAGUUGGUUUUAGAGGUAUUAUGCUUGUUUUUACAUUGUUUUGCAAGGUUUUGAGGUGAAUUGAAGAUUGAAGUAAAGCAAGGUGGACUUAGACUUGUGAAAGAUGAAGAAACAAGAUGAAAAGAAGAGUCAAAGGGACCGUUGAGCGUUAAAAUGGACCGCUGGGCGGCCAGUGCGAUUUGAGGCAAACUGCUCAGCGGCAAAACUGAUCGUUGAGCGGUGGUGCGGCUAAAGGGGAAAUCGCUGAGCGGUUUGCUUAGGCACUGAGCGGUUGUCUGUUUUUAUUAGCUCAGAUUCUGUGAUCUUUUUGUUAUCUUUUUGGUCUAUAAAUAGACCCAGUGUGAUUUAGAAUGUAAUCUUUUGGCAGAGAGAAAUGUCCAGAGCUAUUCUACACACCUUGGAGGAGGUUCCUUGGAUGCUUAGGCUCCAAUCUACAAAAUUUAGGGUUUGCUUUUCCAUUCUUCCAUUGUAUUUCUUCUAGAUUCACCAUGAUUAUGGUGAACUAAACCUUAGGUUGUUGGGGAACAAUGUAAUCUUUUGAAAUUCUUUUAUAUCAAAAUUCUUAUCUUCUUUAUAUGCUUGGAUAUGCUUACUUCUCCAUAUGAAGAGCUCAAGUGCGUGAAAUGAUGUUAAUAAUUUCAGAUCUGUGAUGAUAUUGUCAUACUUGCUGCUAGUUGAUUUGAUUUGUUGUUUUCAAUGUGUCAAAAUGCUUAACUAAGAGCUAAUCCAUAAUGAACACCAUAUGAGCACGAAAUUGCCUCUGCAAUUAGCUUGGUGAUAGACUGGAAAGUCAUUUUGCAUUUCAGUUUGCAGUAGACCGAUUUGCAUUUGUUGUUGGAGUCCAUUUUUUUUUUGCUUUUUUUAAUCUGCUUUAGCAUUAGAUCAUUGCUGGACAUCUUCCAUUAAUUCAUAGUGUUGUUCAACUUUUCUUUGUUGAUUUGAGUCCUGUGAUUUGUUAACCAGUUGCUGCAUCUUUAGUCUAUCUCUGAUUCUGGUUGAGCAUUCUAAUUGGAUUGUAGCAAAAGGAGUGGUCAUGUUAUCUUCAGCAUAAAACAGUCAUUAUAAAAAAAAAAAAGAAGAAGUCCAAUUAAAAGUUCUGAAAAACCAAAUAGGCCUGUGCAAUCCAUGUUCUUAAAAACUAAAACACAGAAUCAGAUUUUGGAAACUGGAACUGGGUUUAUUUUUGACAAUUCAGCAGCUUCUUGUUUGUGUUUUCUUGUUUUUUUUUUUUAAAUCUGUUAUAGUGCCAAUCAUAGGAUCUGUUUGAGUGCUUCCUUUAUUGAAAGCUUUCGUUUCUUGCUUGUCUUGAUUGAUAACUCUGGUUUUGUCCAUCAAGUGCAUACUGUUCUGCUAUUCUUAAUUUGAGCUUUAAUUGCUUUAAUAAUCUGAUCUAGAGCCUGUCUUGAGUUGUCUGUUCUACUGUGCUGUCUUUGCUUGUGGCUGUCUUGUUGCCAUUCCAUUGCUUUGCUGUCCUGUUUUUGUUCUGUCAUCUGGUUUGAGAAGCUUUACACUUUGGUUUUUGGAAUUUGGAAAGAAAGGUUUGUGUGCUUGGUAGCAUCUUAGGUGGUGGUGGUCUAAAAGACUCUCCAACCUUGAACUGACAAGGGAGAAUCUCCCUUCCAAACCUUCAUUUAUGUGUUUCAUGUUUUUAAAGAGAAGCCUUCAGAAAAAUUCUUGAGUUUGUGAGCUUUGUGUGGCUGCAUCUAAGAGCCAAAUAUCCUUGUUGAGAGUGUGUCGUACUAAAGUCUGAAUCUGAAUUGUGCUCACCCAAUAUAUUUGUGCAGUUUUUGCUUUGAUUGUCAUUUACAGGUGAUGCUGUGUAGAAGUUUGUGCAGUUCUGAAUAGAAGACUUGUGCUGAUUGGAGUUGAACAACUAGAAGCAGCCAUAUAAGUUGAAAGGGAGUUGUUUAAUUCAUUACUUCUAUCUUGUUUGAGCUGUUUUUCUAGUUAAAUUGCCAAAUUUAAGCCUUGGAAGUUCUGCUGAAUUCAACUCUGAAUUUUCUAUGCAGUAGAUUGUAAAUGGAUAGCAAGAUUUGGGACACGUGAUUUUCUGCUGCAUUGAACAAGGAUUUUUGAACAAGGGGCUAUAGUGGUCGUGGGUUGUAACAGUAGAGAGCAAUAAGGAGCUGUGAGCUGCACCAGCCGAGAGAAAGGGAAGUGCUUACUACCAUAUAUAUUUCUUUGUAUGUGCAAACUGUUUGGCUGAGUGUGUAAGUGACAAAAUCUUUGUGUCUUUGUGUUACAGAAUUGGAACAGCUAGUUUAUUGGUUAGACCGAGAGCUGAAAAGCAUAUUUGGACACUUGAAGAUUUUGUUCAAGAUGAAUGAAGUGGAAUGGGACUAGGACCGUAGCAGACCAGUAGCGUAGUUUUUGGUUUUGUAAAUUUGUUUUCUUAUUUUUUGUGUGUGUAAUCUGAUGGGCCUGUGUUUAGCCCACUGGUAGCUUUAGUUUUGGUUUGUAAAUGGCCUUUUAUAAAGUCCAAGUAUUUGGAAGAGUCCUUGGUGCUCUUUCCAAAUCUUGGCAACUUUAAUUGCUUUACUUUUUAGCAUAGCUAGACAUAGGAGUAAACUUUAAUUUUGAAUUGCUUAUGUGUUUCGCGUUAGGUGUGACCUUUGUCACAUUAGAGUCCGUACGUUUUUAGGGGUCUUAGAGUCCGUUUUCAUUGUUGUUUCUUUUGAGUCUUGCACUUUGAUUUUAAAAAUGUCUUGUUAUUCAUCUAGGAUGUCUAGUUCAUACAUUAAGGAUGAUUUGUGUAAUAAAGCUAGCAAAAUUCCCUUCUUUGGUAAAGAUACAAAUGUUUUAACAUACCUAGUNNNNNNNNNNNNNNNNNNNNNNNNNNNNNNNNNNNNNNNNNNNNNNNNNNNNNNNNNNNNNNNNNNNNNNNNNNNNNNNNNNNNNNNNNNNNNNNNNNNNNNNNNNNNNNNNNNNNNNNNNNNNNNNNNNNNNNNNNNNNNNNNNNNNNNAAGGUAGAAAAUCCACCAUUGAAAAUUGGUAUGAAUUGAGAUCGUGCAUGAGAAGAAAGUUUGUGCCUUCAAAUAUUCAAAAUAACUUAGAACAUAUGAGAGAGUUUAUUAGAGAAGGCAAGUCAUUCAUUGAAAAAUUAAGUGGAUUCAAUCGUAGGGAAAUAGAGUUUAGAGAAAAACUCAUGAAGUUCUUGAAUGAGGAAAGUAAAAGGAGAUUUGAGAGAGAACAUAGGCAAUUACAAGAAAGAAUAGAGAGACAAGAGAGAAAACAAGAAGAAGAAAGACAAAGAGAAAGAGAGAAAAAGAGAGAACAAGAGAGAAAAGAAGAGGAAGAAAGAGUGAGAAGAGAAGAAGAAGAUAGAGAGAAAAAAGAAGAGGAAGACAGAGAGAGAAGAUUACAAGAGAGAAGAGAAGAAGAGAAAAUAAGAGAGAAAAAAAAGAAAGGAAGAGGAAGAGAAAGAAGAACUUAAAAAGAAAGACAUGGAAGAAAAGAAGAAAGAAUUGGCAACAUCCCCUAUUCUCACAAUAGAACACAAAUUUUUAAGGGGAGGUUUUCUAUCUUUUCACUUUCCAAUUGUUAUUGAAUGCUUUAAUUUUACCUUUUCUUUCCAAGAAUUUGCCAUUAAACCUUUUCAAAAGUUGCAAUCUUUAACACAUGGCAAUCAAAGACUNGAGUUAGAGAUAUCUUCCAAGUUAUCACUAAUUCAAGACAAAAAUAUAUUUUCAAAUGGAGUAAGGAUUCUUUUUAGUCAUAAACUUGAAAAUUUCAAAGUUAGGAAACCUUCUUCUAAACAUCUUUCUUUAUACAUCUUAUUAGGUCAAAUAAAACUAAUUAGAGAUAUGUUUGAUGCUUAUUGCAGAUUAAUAUUUGAUCCAGGAGGAACUUCCAUGGAGAUUACAAUAAUAAGUCCUCAGGCGAACCAUCAGAUUUGAGGACAAAUCCUUUCCAAGAGGGAGGGGAUGAUACGCGGGGCCCAAGCCCAAUGUCUUUAGUUUAGUAUUUCUUUUAAUUGUAUUAGAGAUGUGUACAAUAUGUUAGGCAUGUGGUACAUUUAGCCUUAUAUAUAGGCAUGCUAACACAUCUUGUAAUUACUUUUGAGCUUAAUGAGAAUUUAGUUUUCUAAAUAAGAAAAUAAUUCUCCCUUGAAAGUUAGGCUAGAGAGUCAAAGGGACCUCCUCAAGCCACCUUCCAGCACACUACCUCAUUCUUUCAUUUCUCACUUUACCAUUGUGUUGUUUCUCUCCUACACUACGUCUCUCCUCCACAUAAACCAAUCUAUUCACACCACUCGUUCCACUACGAAACCUACGCGUGGCGUGCAUCAGACUCCCCAUCUUCAUAUCUCACUGCCUGCAUCAUUUCCAUUUCGACAUUUCCCAAACCCUAAAUGCUCUCUUCCUCCCGGACGGCCUCCAUCGUUGGCUCUCCAUCACCAGAUCUCGACUCCAUCACUAAUCCAAGUCCAGAAUAGCCUCUUCCAUCAGGUUUGUCAUCAUUUUACCGAUUGUAAACCCCGAAUCCUUCCCUUCCAUCGAUCCAAUCGGUGAAACCUCUCGUUUCACCGUUCAAAUAGUUUUUCCUCCGAUUAUUUCGAAGUUCCACCGAUUAAAUCCUCUUCUUCCACGAACCCUAGAAUUUUUACCGGUCAAACCACACAAACCUAGGGUUUUGUUCUUCCGCUGCAUCAUUUGUCAGACUCUGAGCUCGAUCCGCACCAGAUCUAUGGCUCUUCGCCAGAGUCUCUCGUAUAAGGUUCUUUACCUUUGCUUAAUGCUUUUAUCGUUUAACUCAUUCGAUAAUUGUUGUUUGUCUUUAUUGAUACGGGAACGUACAGUAAUGUCAUGAAUUGUGGGGAAUUCCUUGAUUAUGCUAAUACCACGUAGGGGUAGGACAAUCAAUUGUAUUUUGCUUCUGUUCAACAUGCAUUAUUAAUUACUAGGGAAGGCUAGGGAUAACAAGCCGGUAAUUAGUAAUAGGCUCUUUUUGCCAAGGAAUUGGGUUAAGGGUAGACCAAGAAAGUGUGCAUGACAAUAUGAUAAAUAAGCAAAUUAGAUAAGAAAAGUAGAUAUAAGAGGGUGGAUAAGGUGAAAUUAGGUUACAAGAAAGUUAAGGGCUAUGAGUCCUUUGGGAAACGAUACUUGGACUUACCCAUUUUAUAUUACUUAAUAACGAUCUGGUAGAAUUGCCAGGGACUUAACAAGAUUUUGGCGCCGUUUGCGGGGACUCUUGGUUUAACUUAUCUAGUAGUGUAAACUGAUUAAUUUUGACUUGAUUGUAUAUAUUUUAUUUUUGAUUUUUGCUUUUGUUUUUGUUUAUUUUUAUAUAAAAGUGCUACUAGGGUUUGUGUUUCUUGUGCAUGCAGUAGGAGACUAGACAUACUAGGACCAAGAAAAAUACGCAACCUCUUCUUGAAGGCUUAAGUGAGACAAAGGGAAGAAGGAAAGUCAGACGCCCAUCUAGGGAUUUGUUUCCUUCUCUUAGCAGAUUACUAUCACUUUCACCGGUUCGUAGAGCAGAGGAGAUGGCUAAACGACCUCCUCCAAGACGCACUCUUGCAGACCAAUCUAAUAAUGUUGGCCCUUUCCACUUCAACAGCAUAGCCAUGCCUACGGAUCAAACCACCAACAUGGUGAUGAAUCUAGCACUUACACACCUGGUGCAAAGCAACCAGUUUCACGGCUUGUCAAAUGAGAACCCAUAUGACCAUUUGACAACGUUUAGUGAAAUUUGCAAUACUGUGAAGAUAGGAGGUGUAUCAGAUGAGAGAGUAAAGCUUAGCUUGUUCCCAUUCUCAUUGGGAGGCAACGCUAAGGCGUGACUUAAUUCCUUUCCUGAAGGGACGUUUACAACAUGGGAGACUGUGGCUACAAAGUUUGUCACCAAAUAUUUUCCACAGUCUAAAGUUACUCAGGGAAGAUUGAAGAUCUCGUCAUUCAAGCAAGGCAUGGAAGAGACUCUAGGUCAAGCAUGGGAAAGAUUCAAAGGCCUACUAAGAAAGACACCAGUCCACGAGUUUGACAAGACAACCCUAGUUCUUGCUUACCUUGGUGGUCUGAACAUGCAGUCUAAGAUGAUGAUGGAUGCCUCAGCUGGAGGUGAUAUUAAACAGAAGACUGAUGAUGAAGCCUAUAACUUGAUAGAGAGUAUGGCUACUAAUGAGCAGGAAAUGUUUAGUGAAAAGGGCGCACCUACGCAAAAGAGAGGAGUCUUGCAUUUGCCUACAGAUGAUGCCAUGCUAGCUCAGAACCAUCUUCUGACCCAAAAGCUGGACAAUUUGACAAAGAUUCUUUCACAACUUCCUAAGGAGAUUCGUAAUGUCUCCCAAACGCAGCAGUUGUGUGAUUUCUAUUGAGGUGACCAUAUCAAUGGUCAAUGUGUUCUACCAGAGGGGAUGCAGCAGGAAGCCAACUAUAUGGGAAACCAGUUCCAGUAUAGGUAGGGUAACUUCAACCAAGGCAAUUCUAGCCAAGGUUGGAAGAACCAUCGUAGCAUUUGACUAGCACAAAAUAACCCAUCAGGGAAAACAAGUGGUUUCAGGGAGCAACAACCUUCACCAUUGUGGCAACAGGUUACUCAUUUGACAGAGUUUGUCAAAGAUCAAAGUGAUAGAUUUGACAAAUUCCUGAAGGUGUAUGAGUCUAAUCAUGCCAGUGACCAAGCUAGUUUCAGAUCCAUGGAGAUGCAAAUUGGUCAGUAGUCAAAAAGAUUAGAGAACACUGAGAAAAACCAAUUUAGGGUUAACACUGAUGUUAACCCUAAAGAGGAAUGCAAAGUUGUUGUUACAAGGAGUAAAAGAAAGGCAGAAAGGGAAGUUGUGGAAAUUGGGAGUAGUGAAGAUGAGGAGGAGGAAAGAGAAAUUAUUGAGCUAGACAGUAGUGAAGGUGAAAGUGAAGAAGAAGAGGAAGAGGAAGUAAGGUUCAGUCACAAUGGGCAGAUUAGAGAAAUUUUUAACCAGGUGACUGUGGUGCCUUCAAUAAUUCAACAGAUUCCUGCAUAUUCUGAAAGGAUAAAAUAUUAUCUUGGUGAUAUAAUAGAUUUAGAUGAAGACGAAGAGGAGCAGGAAUUUGUGAUUCAACCUCCAAAGAAGAAUUAUCCACCUAAGGUAAAAGAUCCAGGUUGUUUGACUCUUUCAUGUAUUGUGAAUGAUGUUGAUGUAGGAGGAGCUAUGAUAGAUUCUGGAUCUAGUAUCAAUAUGAUGCCCAAGCGUUUUCUGAGAAUAAUUGGAGGGCUAACAUUAAAACCGUCCAAUCUUACUGUGACGGUGGCGGAUGGUUCCACUAAAAAGCCAAUUGGUAUAGUGGAAAAUGUGCUUGUGCGAGUGGAGUAGCUAGAUUUUUUUGUGGACUAUAUAGUCAUGGGUAGGAAAGAUGAAGAGAGGAUUCCAAUGAUUCUUGGAAGACCUUUCAUGGCAACCUCAAAGAUGUUCAUUAGUUUCCAUGAUGGAAGAAUCAUGAUGAGAGACAAAGAAAAUAUGUUAUGUAUUGGGUCUAAAGAGAAGAAUGUUAGAGUUAAAAAGAGAGCCAGACAUAAAAAAGUCAAGAAGAGAAGCUGCAUCAGAUGAAGAAAGCACAACAGGUACUGACACUAACAGUUGUAAUGUUUUACAGGUACCGAAAGAGGAGGUUGAUAAAGGAGGAACAAUCCACUCAGAAGAUACAUCACUUCCACGUGGUUCACAACUGAAAUUCAAAAAUAGGAAGUGGAUUGUCAACAAGAUCAGAGAAUAUGGAUUGGUGGAGAUUAGAAGACCAUAUGUUAAAGCCAUCAAGGGAGUGGAUAGAAGGCAACUGAUGAGUUGGGUAGAUGAAGAUCCCAACCGGGAUGGAAAGACUUAAAGAUAUUUGAUUUAAUCCCACUUGUUGUAAAACAUUUUUAGUUUUAGGUUUAUUUGAUUUUGGACAUGUAACUUUUUGGAUUUUAAACACUUUUGGGUAGCAUCUACUAAGGGAUGCUAAAAUUUUAUAUGUAUCUACUGAAGGAUACAGGUAGGCACACCUACUGAAGGGUGUUGGAAGGAUAAACACUUACUGAUGAGUGCUAAAUAGGUUUGGGUCAAGCUCGUGAUGUUAAACAAGCGCUACCUGGGAGGCAACCCAGUUGAUUAUAUCUGUUUUUUUUUAACUCUGUGUUAAGUGCAUUGCAUGUUUGAAUGUUGCAUUUGAGAGGGGAAAGGUAUGUAAUUGAAAUUUUGAAAGUUGAAUUGAGUGCUACAGGGUUAGACUGCUCAAAAGAAAGCAAAGAAGAGAGGAAGAAAAACUACUGCAAACCGCUAAGCGGCUCAUUUUUCCGCUGAGCGGUUGCGGCGGAAACUUGUCUCGGCUUUGUUUAAAGCUGAGCGGUUUCUAAGUUUUUCAUUCUGAAACCUCUUCUUUGAAGUUUGCCCAAGCGGUCUCCUUAAGCCCUAACAUUUGUAUCUCACUUUCAAGAGCUUUUUAGAGAGAUUUCUCCACUUUCUCAUCACCCACUCACCAAAAUCUCAAUUUUAUACCAUUGUCUUGUCAAAGUUUGGGGUUUUUGGUUGAGGGUUGUGCAUUGGAGAGGGCAUUCAUCAUCAAUUAGAAGAUUUUAGCAAACAUUCAAAGUCUCCACUCAAGUAAGUCGUGCAAUUUCAUGUUUAGGGUUUCUAUUUUUGAAUUUGUUGAAGAACAUGCCUAGGAACAUGAUAAAUUAAGGUUAUGAUUUCUAUGCAUGAUUUGGUGAAAUAGAAAUUGUUUGAACCGAUUGAAUUGCAUGAAAUUGAUCUGGAAUGGUAUAAUAGGUGUUAGAGUUGAGAUUAGGGUUUUUAAAAAAGGAUUUUUGAAAACCUAGUUGAAAACCGCUGAGCGGAAUUCAUCUGGUUUGGGUAUUUUGAUUUUUUUUGGAUGCUUGGAUGCUGGGGGGCCCUGUUUUUCCCUUAGUACCGAACUGUGUGUGUUGUGGAAAUUAAAUUGAUGAUGUACUAACCUCUAAUGAUGAUUUUGUGAUGUUAUUGAAGUUAUUUGAUACAGGAAUGUCUACCUCAAGAAGAGUGAAGUCCAUAGGCAACAAGAGAAAGGAGCCAGAGAGACCAAGGAAAUUUUAUUCUCCUAGGUUUAUUUCUAAGAAGCAUGAGGAGCAUUAUGCAACUGUACAGGAAAGGCGUUUGCUGAUGGAAAGGAAUGCCAUGUACAUCCCUGACCUAGCUCCAGAGUUUGGAUUGGGGAUAGAAAGGCGAGUUUGGGAGAGAUUGACUACAUAUCCUGCAGUAGCUAACAUUGAGUUGGUAAAGGAAUUCUAUACCAAUGCCUUGGUCAGAGGAGGAGUAUCAACUGGAAGGUACAUGAGCUAUGUGAGGGGCCAGAUUAUCAGAUAUGAUCCCAACACUAUCAACAACUUCCUAGGGACUGAGUGGCCAGGAGAGUAGUGUAGGUAUGCUGCUAUUCUAGGGGAGCACAGGGAUUAUGAGGACAUCGAGAGGGUGAUAUGUAUAUGAUAACGGUCUAAAAACCGUUAUUUUCAUGCUUGAAUUUGAUAGUAAAGCACACCCUUUAUGGCUUAGAAUGGGCUUUAAAUCAAGUAAAACACUUAGUUGAGUCUCUUGAGAGUCAAAAGUUGGUUUUAGAGAUAUUAUGCUAGUUUUGCAUUGUUUUGCAGGGUUUUUAAGAUGAAUUGAAGAUGGAAGUAAAGUAAGGUGGACUUAGACCCUUGAAAGAAGGAGAAAUAUGAUGAAGAGAAGGGUCAAUUCUACCAAAAUAGUUUCAACCCUUGAUAGGAUUCCACUGAAAAUCUGAAUUGAAUAAUAACUUGUCAUGAGAAAAAUGAGUUUUGAAAGUGUUGAACUAUUUGAUGAAGUGGAAAGCCAAGUUUUGUCUUGUUUUCUUGAGGACAAGCAAAGUUCUAAGUUUGGGGUUGUGAUAACAGUCUAAAAACUGUUAUUUUCAUACUUAAAUUUGAUAUAAAAACACACCCUUUUAUGGCUUAGAAUGAGCUUAAAAUCAAGGUUUAAUACCUAUUUUGGUCCCUCCUUUGGGAGGGUUUGUUCAAAGUGGUCCCUCCUUUUUUCAAAAGUUCACUUAAGUNNNNNNNNNNNNNNNNNNNNNNNNNNNNNNNNNNNNNNNNNNNNNNNNNNNNNNNNNNNNNNNNNNNNNNNNNNNNNNNNNNNNNNNNNNNNNNNNNNNNNNNNNNNNNNNNNNNNNNNNNNNNNNNNNNNNNNNNNNNNNNNNNNNNNNNNNNNNNNNNNNNNNNNNNNNNNNNNNNNNNNNNNNNNNNNNNNNNNNNNNNNNNNNNNNNNNNNNNNNNNNNNNNNNNNNNNNNNNNNNNNNNNNNNNNNNNNNNNNNNNNNNNNNNNNNNNNNNNNNNNNNNNNNNNNNNNNNNNNNNNNNNNNNNNNNNNNNNNNNNNNNNNUUGAACAGUUUUUGCAAAAGGUAGGACUUAAGUGAACUUUUGAAAAAAGGAGGGACCACUUUGAACAGUUUUUGCAAAAGGUAGGACUUAAGUGAACUUUUGAAAAAAGGAGGGACCACUUUGAAUAGUUUUUGCAAAAGGUAGGACUUAAGUGAACUUUUGAAAAAAGGAGGGACCACUUUGAACAAACCCUCCCAAAGGAGGGACCAAAAUAGGUAUUAAACCUAAAAUCAAGUAAAACACUUAGUUCAGUCAUGUGAGAGUCAAAAGUUAGUUUUAGAGGUAUUAUGCUUGUUUUUACAUUGUUUUGCAGGAUUUUGAGGUGAAUUGAAGAUGGAAGUAAAGCAAGGUGGACAUAGACUCGUGAAAGAUGAAGAAACAGGAUGAAAAUAAGAGUCAAAGGGACCGCUGAGCGUCAGAAUGGACCACUGACCAGCCAGUGCGAUUUGAGGGAAACAACUGAGCGGAAACACUGACCGCUGAGCGGUGGUGCGGCUAAAUGGGAAAUCGCUGAGCGGUUUACUUAGGCGCUGAGCAGUUCUUUGUUUUUAUUAGCUCGGAUUCUGUUAUCUUUUUGGUCUAUAAAUAGACCCAAUGCGAUUUAAAAUGUAAUCUUUUAGAAGAAAGAAACGUCCAGAGCUAUUCUACAUACCUUGGAGGAGGUUCCUUGGAUGCUUAGGCUCCAAUCUACCAAAUUUACGGUUUGCUUUUCCAUUCUUCCAUUGUAUUUCAUCUAGAUUCACCAUGAUUAUGGUGAACUAAACCCUAGGUUAUUGGGGAACAAUGUAAUCUUUUGAAACUCUCUUAUAUCAAAAUUCUUAUCUUCUUUAUAUGCUUGCAUAUGCUUACUUUUAUCAAUUGUUGGGUUCCUUACCUUUGCUUAAUGCUUUUAUCGUUUAACUCAUUCAGUAACUGUUGUUUUUCUUUAUUGAUACGGGAACGUACAAUAAUGUCAUGAACUUGGGGGAAUUCCUUGAUUAUGCUAAUACCACCUAGGGAUAGGGGUAUGACGAUCAAUUGUAUUUUGCUUCUGUUCAACAGGCAUUAUUAAUUACUAGGGGAGGCUAGGGAUAGCAAGCCGGUAAUUAGUAAUAGGCUCUUUUCGCCAAGGAAUUGGGUUAAGGGUAGACCAAGAAAGUGUGCAUGACAAUAUGAUAAAUAAGCAAAUUAGAUAAGAAAAGUAGAUAUAAGAGGGUGGAUAAGGUGAAAUUGUAAAUCCCAACAACUUCAUUCAUCCAUAGUUUUCUUUUAGCCAAUUGAUUAACUACAUUUGCAUGUUUACUUUUGUUUUUGUAUUUAAAAACUCAAUUUAAUUCUUCUCUCAAGUCUUACAAAAUUAGAUUACACGAAAGUUAAGGCCUAAGAGUCCUUUGGGAAACGAUACUUGGACUUACCCAUUUUAUAUUACUUUAUAGAUCUGAUACACUUGCCAGGGACUUAACAAGGUGCUAGAUCAGGUGACUCGAGACCUAACUCCUUAGCUCGAUGUUUUCUCAUCUUUUUCUCUAACAACACAUAACUACCAUGAGAAAGUACGUGUGGUGUAUCAUUAAGCCUCUGCCUUUCCUGGGCGGCUAUCCCUUUCACCUAUGAAAAAAAUGAAAAUUAUUAAGCAUAAAUCAGAAAUUAACAUCGUGUCUUGUGUGACUAGAGAAAAAUAUUAUAAAACAUACCUGUCAUUCAGGAGUAAGUCUAGAUUCUUUAAACUACACCCACUGCUCAUCAGAUAUUUUAUACCUUGAACAGGGAGUGUCGUUCUUUUUAGAGCGAAAGACGAAUUUACAUGUCAUUGACGUCUUGAAGUCCCUCCACCGGGUUGCAAUUUGGGCUAAAACCUUCUUCCUUAUCCUCUCAUCAUCAAGAAUAACCCAACCUCUCUGUUAAAAUAGAAAAUUAAUGUUAAAGCAUGUUCAACGAAAAUAAGUCAAUGAUGGAAGUAAAACAAUUUCAAGUACAUACCAAAAUAUCCUGCCAUAGUAGAUCUUUCUCAACCUUUGACACAUCACCCCAACGGUUAGCGAAAAUAGGGACAUGAAAUCUUGCCAGUGUGCCCAAGUAACUCUUAAACUUUGUUGCAUGUUCGCCUAUAGGCAUAAAUGUUUUAGGAUCAAACUCCAUUGGCAAUGGUUUAUCAUUAACCCGACGGGAUGUGACACCAGGUAUCCGAGUCACAGAUCUAACACCUUCUCCCGUCUGACCUGAUCCAGAGCUCGUCAUACCUGUUUACCAAGUUAGUAAAUUAUAGUUAGAACAUGCAACGAAUGGUGACACUGGAGAAGAUAACGAAGUUCGCUGACAACGAACGAACACAGACAUCAUACGUUGAAGGAAAAAAUAAACUAUUAUACAUAUACCAUAUGUCCAAAAUCGAAAAACACAACACAAACACGAGCACAUACAUCAUACAUAUGAGAUAUCGAAGAUAAAAAAAACAUACUUGAAAUGGUGUAACUGGAGAAAGAUGAAGUUCCCUGACCACGUACGAAACACAGCCUGAAGAUAAACGAAGAAGAUUCGUCAAGACUUAGUAAUGGGAACCAAAUGACAUUACAAGGCCAGAAAAGAUUAAAAAUAAGCUUCUUUCUUUAUCGCAGUCGUCCAUGAAGAAGAAAGUUCAAGCAUAAAUGGUAGCGCGAACAAAUAGUGAGACCGUGUUAUGUUUUUACAUUCAUAUUCCACGUCGAAAACAAGACAAAUUUCAUGUUAUAUUUAAAAACCACGUCGCAGACCAAAAUAAUUCGACGUUUCCAGUAAAAAACAGGCGCCUUUUUUUUUACAUAAUUUGCAAAGUUACGUCGCAGACUUAGUAUCUGACGCUUAAGGUUUUUCCAAUUCCUCUGCUUUUACUUUUUUGCUUUUGAACACGAGAGCAUUAAAUAGAGCGUCGUAUUGUCUGGGAAUUUGACGUUUUCUCUUAAUUAGCCGCUAAUAUCAGAAAGUACCAUACUUUUCGAUCUCUUUUCUUUUCACUCGUGCCAUAAAAUGUCGGAGGCUGCGGGGCAGGGACGUGAAGGGAAUUGAAGUAUGUUAGGAGCAUUAAUGGUGUUCUUAAUAGAACGUCGUAUUCGGUAGGGCUUUGACGUUUUUUUUCUUCCGCCAAUAUCAAAAUGUGGCGCUCUUUUUUCGUUUAAAAUCAAACAUGAAAUCUUUUCUUUUAACGUCUUCCUUAAUCAAUUCAAGUUAGCAGUGUAUUGAAAUUUGCACUUUUACACCAGUGAUCAGUUUUUGAUCAAUAUCAUAAUCGUCUCUAGUAUAAAAACGUUCUUGGGGUGUCUUCAUCACUUAUCGAUCCAGAUGGGUUUGCGUUUCUUGUAAGCCGAGCAACCUUCUUUUUUCUUCUUGUAACGUCUUUCACAAUGUAGAGUCUUUAACUCCUCAACUUAAAAACUAUACGUCGAAUUUUACUGGGCUUCGACGUAUUAAUUGAGAGUUUGAUAAAACACGUGUGAUUAGACGUUUUCUUCUUCAACCUCCCGCCCUUUGUUUCCUUCUUUUCUUUAAACCUCCAAUAACCUCCCUUUACCAUUAUAUUUUAAGAUAUGAUUUACAUACUUUUUUAAAAAAAUAUUUUAUAUAUAUUACUGUAAAUUUAUCUUAAAAUAUAAUAAUUAUUUGUGGGUCAAAUUUAAAGAGAAUGAAACUUAAUUUCUUUAAAAAAUUAUUAUAAUUUGAGAAAGAAAAUAAUAAUAAUAAUUAAUGAGAAUUAAGUUUAUACAUCAGGAUAAUUAAAAUCAUAAUAAAUAUUAUUAUAUUAAGAAAAGUCAUGUCAAAUUAAUGUUCUUUUAACAUAGUGUACACCGUAAAUGAAAUAUUUUUAUUAGAUUCAACAACAUUCCCAUAACUUAUAUUUCUUUCCUUUGCACUUUUAACUAGUGAUCAGUUUUUGAUCAAUAUCAAAACUGCAUAAUCUUCUCUUCUCAACUAGAUUGAGAGGUAGUCCACAUACAAUGCAAUCAACAUUCACAAUUCACAGAUCAUUUACUAAAAUAAAUCUUCAUUGCACUUCUAAAUAAAACCGAAGGAAAUAGAGAAACCAGUGAUGGCUUAAUAGCCAUGAUUACAAAAUUAAAAAAAAAAACACUUAGAAACGUAGUUCCUAUUAUUAUCAAGAAGAUUUCAUUUGAUCUUCACCACGAGUAGGUGGACUUCCGACAAUUUGCUCAUCAGUGAAGAACCAUUCAUUCUCAGUCCUUUUCAGCCCAAUAGAUGACAGACUUCGUAUACCAAUUUCUUCUGACCUUUUGCACACAAUUCUUUCUUCUUCAGAUACAUCUACUCCUAGGAGUUCCAGCACCUUGUUGAUAAAUACACCAUAUUUCAAUUUGUGUGCAUAAUGAUCUCCUGCAGCGAUCAUGUGGUCUUUUAGAACCGCAACCCAGUUGGUUGGGAUUCUAGUCUUGAUAGCAUUCAACAAAAAUACAUCUUCUGUUGACAUUCUGUCCUCGUUCAAUCUUCCAGGCAGUAGUAGCCAAGUCAAGACAUAAGCAAUAAUUCUCUCAUCCUUGUUUAAGCCAUCAUGUAGGUACUACUUAUCCACCCUGUACCUUCCUGGAUAUCUUAAGUAGUUUACAUAUAUAGCUCUCUUUGUUAGCCAUAUGUUUGACUCAGAAUCACGGAUAUGAGAAUCCAAACCUCCAGCUUUCAGACCAGUAAUAUUUGACCAAACAUCAUCGUCAAUAGUAAUGUUACCUUUGACCCUUGAGUGAAUGACCUCAUUUACAACCCUGAGGUUUGUGUAGAAAACCUUUACCAAAUCAGGAUAGCAAUUUCCUUUCAUCUGGACAAAAUUAGUAAGCCCUUGAUAUGUAAUCCAUUAUUGAAAAAGGAAACCUUCUUUCUUGAAGAAUUGCAGGUCCAGAUACCUGUGAGGAACUAAAAACUUUACUCGGGUCUCUUGAUCACUUAUCAAUCCAGACGGGCUUGCGCUUCUUGUAAUCUGGGCAACCUUCUCUUUUCUUCUUGAUGAUGAUGAAGAAGCCAUUUCUCAAUAGAAUUCUCGGAACGUCUUUCAUAAUGUAGUAGUUUUUAAUUUAUCAACUUCUUUGGUUUAAAAAUACAAACGAUACGUUGACUUCACAACUUCUCUUAAAAUAUAAUGUUAUACGUCGAAUAUUUUGGAUAUUCGACGUUUUCUGCUUCCGCUCCCGCCCUUGGUUUCAUUUUUUCAUCUAAACCGCCCAUAACCUCCCGCUACCAUUAUAUUUUAAGAUAAGAUUUACAUAUCUUUUUUUUUUUUUUUUAUUUUAUGAAGUAGAUGAUUUUGGAUAUUUGACGUUUUCUGGUUUUGCCUCCCGACCAUUUGCUACCCUCUUUUUCAUUUAAACCACCUAUAACCUCCAGUUACCAUUAUAUUUUAAGAUAAGAUAUACAUACUUCUUUUAUGUUUUUAUUUUAUGAUUUUGUGUAAAUUUAUCUUGUAAUAUUUAAAUAUUAUAUAAUUUAAGAUAUAUUUGUCGGCAAAAUUUAAGAAAGAUUUUGUACAAAUUUAUCUUGUAAUAUUUAAAUAUUAUUUUAAUUUCAUGUUAAGGCAGGUUAAGUUUGACUAAUGGUCCAGACUGGUUGACCCUACAUGAAUGUUGGGAUGGGUGAUUGAGACUAAAGGUCGAGAUAGACUAACAUAAGUAUAAUUUGAAGGUCAACCUAAUGUCAUUGGACUUUCUUCUCAACUUCUUAGGUGCCUUAAACAUUUAUACCUGUAUGUAGGGAACCAAGUACUUAUGAAACCACUUUGGAAGUCAUAAUAUGCAUUUGCAUUUUAGUUAUUAGUUUAGACGUCCAGGCCUGGUCAUAGUCGAGACGGCCAAGCCAGUGUGUAUCAAGAAUAGGUAGGUUUUAUCGAAGAACAACUACCGUCAUGAGUUAAAGGUCAAGACAAACCGAUAUCGACCAAAAAUUAACACAAAAUGGGUUGGGUCGAAGGUUAAGGCAGGUUAAGUUUGACUAACGGUCGAGACUGCUUGACCCUAAAUGAAUGUUGGGAUGAGUGUUUUAGACUAAAGGUCAAGACAAACUAACAUAAGUAUAAGUUAAAGGUCGACCGAAUCUCAUUGAACUUUCUUUUUGGGUUUCUUAGGUGCCUUAAACAUUUAUACCUGUAUGUAGGGCACCAAAUAUAUAUGUCGCCAUUUGGAAGUCAUAAUAUGCAUUUGCAUUCUUAUAAAGAUUAACAUCCUUGCAUUCGAUUCUUCUCUUACUUAUUAACCUGCUAGAUUGUGGCUUCUCCAUCUCUGUCUUCACUAGUGCAGCGAAGGGAAACGACCGUAGUUGUUUUUCCCUAUACGUUGCGGUUUACGAACCGCGACAUAUUCAGCGCGGUAAAGAGUUUGUGACUAUAGGCCACAGUUGGAACCGUGGUCAAAAGGUCUGCAAAUAGACCGUGGUUGUAGUAGUACCGCAAUCAAAACUCCUUUUUUUUUUAAAAAAAAAAUAAUUUUUCCAAUAUAGGCCGUGGUUCGAACCGCGGUAAAAGACUAAGAAUAGACCGCGGUUCAUGCCUUAACCGCGACCAAAAGUCUUUUUUAUAAAAAAAAUAAUAAAAAACGACACCUUUCUACCGCGGUUGUGGUAACAAUCGCAACAUAUUCUCCUUCAAUUUUUUCUAAAUAGCAGGUCUGUUUUUGUGAUAUCCACUACCACAGAAACAGACCUGCAUAUCAAAGACAUGUUCAAAUUCAAUUUCAACAGAUCAAACACAUUUUCAAAUGUAUUUUAACAUCACAUAAAGUACAAAGUCUAAUAAAAUAAAAUCUAAUAAAAUACAAUGUUUAAAUCUAAUAAUUAUGACCUAUUUUAUAAUCUAAUAAAAUAUUUUGCACCAGCUUUCCUCAUGAAUGAAUUUGGCUUCUCAGGAACUGGUGUAGUAGUCUUGAAUCUCUGUACAAAAUAUUUGAUAUUAAUAAGUGUAUAUGAAUUCUAAAUUUUGGAGAAAAUCAAAAUUUGUUAGAUUUAAAUAUUACUGUUUCCCAGCCUCUUGUGAUAUGAGAACGAAAAAUAUGGGUCAUCCAAUACAUUACAUAGUAUCCACACUCAUAUGACCCGCUCUGUCUCUUACACUACAAUAUAUCAUCACAGUUGUAAAUAG
rnacentral:lncRNA from 1 species